rnacentral:lncRNA from 1 species
GUCCGUGCGCACCGCCCGGCGUCCAGAUUUGGCAAUUCUUCGCUGAAGUCAUCAUGAGCUUUUUCCAACUCCUGAUGAAAAGGAAGGAACUCAUUCCCUUGGUGGUGUUCAUGACUGUGGCGGCGGGUGGAGCCUCAUCUUUCGCUGUGUAUUCUCUUUGGAAAACCGAUGUGAUGUAACCUUGAUCGAAAAAAAAAUCCAGAACCUUGGGAAACUGUGGACCCUACUGUACCUCAAAAGCUUAUAACAAUCAACCAACAAUGGAAACCCAUUGAAGAGUUGCAAAAUGUCCAAAGGGUGACCAAAUGACGAGCCCUCGCCUCUUUCUUCUGAAGAGUACUCUAUAAAUCUAGUGGAAACAUUUCUGCACAAACUAGAUUCUGGACACCAGUGUGCGGAAAUGCUUCUGCUACAUUUUUAGGGUUUGUCUACAUUUUUUGGGCUCUGGAUAAGGAAUUAAAGGAGUGCAGCAAUAACUGCACUGUCUAAAAGUUUGUGCUUAUUUUCUUGUAAAUUUGAAUAUUGCAUAUUGAAAUUUUUGUUUAUGAUCUAUGAAUGUUUUUCUUAAAAUUUACAAAGCUUUGUAAAUUAGAUUUUCUUUAAUAAAAUGCCAUUUGUGCAAG